GCAGGAUCACCCUCUGCUGCCCCACCACCUUCAGGCAGAAGCAGGAGGAAAAAGCGUCCAGGCAGGAGGUCCAUACCCUCAGGCGAGGGCAGUGUGAGAGCCAGAGACAGCACCCGAGGAGGCAGGCAGGACCUUUCCCCUCGCAGGAGUGAUUGCAAACCAGCUGCCUUUCAGCCUCCAGCUACCAGCUGACCCUAAUCACUAUCAAUGACUGCUCUGCUCAAGUCCACCUCUUAGCAGGCACCUGAUUAGAAAAGACACUGACUGAAAUCACUGGGAAGAGGUAGAGGCUCUUUCAUGUUCAUGGAGGAGAAACAGCAGCUUGACAGCUUUCAGUGGGACCCCAGCAGACAGCAGGCCCUUCACAGGACUUCCCAGGCAAUCUCUUGCCUGGCAUGAGCUGUGGCUACUGCAGCACGCUCAGGACCAGCCGUCUCCUCCAAAAUACCCCUGACAGAGGGGACCAGACUUGGGAACGCUGCCUGGCUCCCAGGAGGGGAACAGGAGCAGCCUGAGGCUGCAGGCAUUGCCAGGCAGGAAGGCGUUAACAGCAUCUCCAGCCCUGCGUGCCCAAACCUUCCCCUCCCUGGGAAGCUGCUCUCCCUGGCUGGGCUGCAAAUUAGACAGCUCCUCUGGGUUAUUCCCCCCACCUCCCUUUAGUUUAUUUUUUUUUAUGCACCUGCCUUCCUCAGCUGUGAUGGGCAUGGCUGGGGCUCGCCCACGCACGCCUCGCAGCAUGAGCACGCUUGCUCUGCCCCCCCAGCUCCAUCAGAGGUGCCGUGGGUGGCUGGCAGGAGGGCACGGCCACUUGCCCUCCCCAGGCCCAGCACUGCCUCUCCGGUGCCCUGUCCACCCACACUGGCCUCCUGCUGCGGCCAAAGGCUGCUGUCAGCUCCGUCCCCAUGCGUACCCAUCACUGCCAGCUCCUCUCUGCAGAGGCUCGGUGCUGACAAGCCUCUCCCCGCACCGCGGGGGCCAGCACAGCCCCUGGGGGGGCUCACCGGGGACGGGAGCUGCUCUUUGCUCUCUCUGGUGCUCCGUCAGUGGCCUGGCACUGCUGCAGCAAACCCAGUGGAGGUAGGAGGGACCCGGGAGUGACUUUUUGUUCUUGGGGGGAGCAGGAAGGAUAAAGGACAGGGCUUCAGCACUGCUCCUUUGUAAGCAUUUCUGCACCGUCCCCUGCAUUGCGAGGGGCACAGCGUCCCAGCCUGGGGUCACAUACUGCUGGCCUGCCCCGUGUCUGCAGCUCCUGCCAGGCAGGAGCAGUGCCCCUGAUGGAUUAUUGGCCUCCCUGCUGCCUCAGCCCUCUCUUGCAGCUCAUGAUUUGUGGCAAAAAUCGAGUGCCAGGACAACUUGAUAUUUCAUGUCAUUAUAAGGCUUGUGCUGCCGGAGAAGCUGUGGCAAUGGAGGAGGUGCACACCUAGCUCUGGGAAGGGGCUUAACCUGCAGCUUUUAAUCAGCUCUACCAAGAAGACCCCAGAGAGCACCUACAGGAGCUGCAGAUGCCCCAGGGAACAGCAGGGGCACCUGGAGGCACUUGUGCAAUGACACAUGACAUGGAUUGUUUUAAUCCCCCAGCAAAACCGUCUCCAAAAUCAGAGGAUUUGGGUUCAAGCAGUAUAAAAACAAGCAGCUGCCUGUCCUGGGGAGUCAGGGAUAUCCCCUGGGAGCCCGUGAGUCACAAGCACUGGGGGCUCAGCAUCCAUCACGUUUGCCGUGAUGCUGUUGUUUGCUCGCUGCGUUUUCCUCAGUCUCAGUGCCUCGGAGCACAUCUCACGCAGCUCCUAAACCACUGCAGGCUGGAAAUGGCUGCCCACACCCCAGCCUUCAUCCCCGAUGCCAAGCCCCAGCUCUCCAGGCCCACCUGCACGUGAGCCUGGCUGGCUUGCAAAACAGAACCAGCCCCCAG